CACGUAGGCGGAUUGUUAAGUCAGGGGUGAAAUCCUGGAGCUCAACUCCAGAACUGCCUUUGAUACUGACGGUCUCGAGUCCGGGAGAGGUGAGUGGAACUGCGAGUGUAGAGGUGAAAUUCGUAGAUAUUCGCAAGAACACCAGUGGCGAAGGCGGCUCACUGGCCCGGUACUGACGCUGAGGUGCGAAAGCGUGGGGAGCAAACA
rnacentral:rRNA from 1 species